rnacentral:rRNA from 1 species
CACGACAUGCGAUACUUGGUGUGAAUUGCAGAAUCUCGUGAACCAUUGAGUCUUUGAACGCAAGAUGUGCCCGAGGCCUUGUGGCCGAGGGCACGCCUGUUUGGGUGUCAUGGCAUCGUCGCCUCUGCUCCAUGCCCUGUUAGUCGGCUGGUGGCGAGCGCGGAAAUUGGCCCCGUGUGCCCUCGGGCACAGUCGGCCGAAGAGCGGGUAGUCGGCAGUCGUCGGGCACGAUGGGUGUUGGUCGCCGUGAGCGGGAACAGAACGUCGUCCCCUUCGUUUUCGGACGAGCCCUCAAGAGACCCUGCGUGAUUGCGGCACCGGGCGAAAGAAAAAAAGCGCCGUGUCCAUCAACUAGUGGCCCCAAGUCAGGCGAGGCCACCCGCCGAAUUUAAGCAUAUAAAUAAGCGGAGGAGGAGAAACUUACGAGGAUUCCCCUAGUAACGGCGAGUGAACCGGGAUCAGCCCAGC